GACGAACGCUGGCGGCGUGCUUAACACAUGCAAGUCGAACGGAAAGGCCCUGCUUUUGUGGGGUGCUCGAUUGGCGAACGGGUGAGUAACACGUGAGUAACCUGCCCUUGACUUUGGGAUAACUUCAGGAAACUGGGGCUAAUACCGGAUAGGAGCUCCUGCUGCAUGGUGGGGGUUGGAAAGUUUCGGCGGUUGGGGCUGGACUCGCGGCUUAUCAGCUGGUUAGUGGGGUAGUGGCUUACCAAGGCUUUGACGGGUAGCCGGCCUGAGAGGGUGACCGGCGACAUUGGGACUGCGAUACGGCCCAGACUCCUACGGGAGGCAGCAGUGGGGAGUAUUACACAAUGGGCGGAAGCCUGAUGCAGCAACGCCGCGUGCGGGAUGACGGCCUUCGGGUUGUAAACCGCUUUCGCCUGUGACGAAGCGGGAGUGACGGUAAUGGGUAAAGAAGCACCGGCUAACUACGUG
rnacentral:rRNA from 1 species